rnacentral:rRNA from 1 species
GUCCACGCAGUAAACGAUGAAUACUAACUGUUUGCGAUACAAUGUAAGCGGUACAGCGAAAGCGUUAAGUAUUCCACCUGGGGAGUACGCCGGCAACGGUGAAACUCAAAGGAAUUGACGGGGGCCCGCACAAGCGGAGGAACAUGUGGUUUAAUUCGAUUAUACGCGAGGAACCUUACCCGGGCUCAAACGCAGGGGGGAAUAUAUAUGAAAGUAUAUAGCUAGCAAUAGUCACCUGCGAGGUGCUGCAUGGUUGUCGU